GCGGCCCAUUAGCUUAGUUGGUGGGGUCAAGGCCUACCAAGGCAACGAUGGGUAGCUGGUCUGAGAGGACGAUCAGCCACACUGGGACUGAGACACGGCCCAGACUCCUACGGGAGGCAGCAGUGGGGAAUCUUGCGCAAUGCGCGAAAGCGUGACGCAGCAACACCGCGUGAGGGAAGACGGCCUUAGGGUUGUAAACCUCUUUCAGAUGGGACGAAGGUGAUGCGGUGAAUAGCCGAUGUCAUUGACGGUACCGUCAGAAGAAGCUCCGGCUAACUACGUG
rnacentral:rRNA from 1 species